GCUCCUCCUCUUAUUUCUAAAUCACAAGAAGAUGGAGGGAAGAUAUUAUAUACUGCUUUUAAGAUGAAAGCUAAGAAAGAGUAUCAGAACUGAGAUAACUGGUGUCAAGAGAGCACAGUAUAUGACAGCAUUGAAGGACUCACUGGAGGAUAAUAAUAAAUAUUUAUUAUCAGUGAGAGAAUCAAUUGAUAAAAGUCCAUUACCAACUGUACAUAAACCACCAGUGACACUUAAAGACACUUCAACUAAUAAUGUAAGUAUAAUAAUAAUAAUUGUAUUACUAUGUUUUAAUUGAUUGUUUGAUUUCAAGUUCAUGAAUAAUUUGCUUACCAUCAAGUUUCCUGGGAGGUUAAUGAGUAUUAAGUAUUAAGGUGGAUUUUUAUAAAGCAACAUAAAAACAAUAAAUGAAAUAUUGCUACUGUUUAAGCUGCAUAUGUUAAUAUGUAAUACAAUAUAUACAAAAAAAAUAAUAUUAUAAUCUGGAAUUAUUGAAAAUAUAAUGACAACAGUACAUAAAAUACUCAGUA